rnacentral:rRNA from 1 species
AACGAACGCUGGCGGCAGGCCUAACACAUGCAAGUCGAACGCACCGCAAGGUGAGUGGCGCACGGGUGAGUAACACGUGGGAAUGUAUCCUUUGGUUCGGAAUAACGUCUGGAAACGGACGCUAAUACCGGAUGAGCCCUUAGGGGGAAAGAUUUAUCGCCGAAGGAGCAGCCCGCGUCUGAUUAGGUAGUUGGUGGGGUAAAGGCCUACCAAGCCGACGAUCAGUAGCUGGUCUGAGAGGAUGAUCAGCCACACUGGGACUGAGACACGGCCCAGACUCCUACGGGAGGAAGCAGUGGGGAAUAUUGGACAAGGGGCGCAAGCCUGAUCCAGCCAUGCCGCGUGAGUGAUGAAGGCCUUCGGGUUGUAAAGCUCUUUCGCACACGACGAUGAUGACGGUAGUGUGAGAAGAAGCCCCGGCUAACUUCGUGCCAGCAGCCGCCGUAA